rnacentral:rRNA from 1 species
GUUUGGUUAAGUUAGAAAGGGCGCACGGUGGAUGCCUUGACACUAGGAGUCGAUGAAGGACGGGACUAACGCCGAUAUGCUUCGGGGAGCUGUAAGUAAGCUUUGAUCCGAAGAUUUCCGAAUGGGGAAACCCACCAUACGUAAUGGUAUGGUAUCCUUAUCUGAAUACAUAGGAUAAGGAAGACAGACCCAGGGAACUGAAACAUCUAAGUACCUGGAGGAAGAGAAAGCAAAUGCGAUUUCCUGAGUAGCGGCGAGCGAAACGGAACAUAGCCCAAACCAAGAUGCCUGCCUCUUGGGGUUGUAGGACACUCCAUACG